rnacentral:rRNA from 1 species
GAUGAACGCUGGCGGCGUGCUUAACACAUGCAAGUCGAACGGGAAACCUUUUAUUGAAGCUUCGGCAGAUUUAGCUGGUUUCUAGUGGCGGACGGGUGAGUAACGCGUGGGUAACCUGCCUUAUACAGGGGGAUAACAACCAGAAAUGGUUGCUAAUACCGCAUAAGCGCACAGGACCGCAUGGUCCGGUGUGAAAAACUCCGGUGGUAUAAGAUGGACCCGCGUUGGAUUAGCUAGUUGGCAGGGUAACGGCCUACCAAGGCGACGAUCCAUAGCCGGCCUGAGAGGGUGACCGGCCACAUUGGGACUGAGACACGGCCCAGACUCCUACGGGAGGCAGCAGUGGGGAAUAUUGCACAAUGGGGGAAACCCUGAUGCAGCGACGCCGCGUGAAGGAAGAAGUAUCUCGGUAUGUAAACUUCUAUCAGCAGGGAAGAUAGUGACGGUACCUGACUAAGAAGCCCCGGCUAACUACGUG